rnacentral:rRNA from 1 species
UACGGGGGGGGCAAGCGUUGUUCGGAAUUACUGAGCGUAAAGGGCUCGUAGGUGGCCAACUAAGUCAGACGUGAAAUCCCUCGGCUUAACCGGGGAACUGCGUCUGAUACUGGAUGGCUUGAGUUCGGGAGAGGGAUGCGGAAUUCCAGGUGUAGCGGUGAAAUGCGUAGAUAUCUGGAGGAACACCGGUGGCGAAGGCGGCAUCCUGGACCGACACUGACGCUGAGGAGCGAAAGCCAGGGGAGCAAACGGG